rnacentral:rRNA from 1 species
AUGUUACGACCUGCUUUUCCUCAGUGGUGUUGGGAGAAUGAUAUUCUUGAGCAUUGGCCACAGACGGAUGUUCUAGCAGUUGUAAGCAGUCCUUGGAAAGUAGGUGACUUGAUUGACUGGUGGUACAAUGAUUGUUUCUGGACUGGCAAAAUUAUCGAGUUUCUGGGUGAAGACAAAGUUAAGAUAAUUUGUCCUGAGAUACCAAUAGGUGAAGGUGGAUGCUGGGCUGCCGAUACCAAGGACCUUAGGCCAGCGCUUGAUUGGUCCCUCUUAAAAGGUUGGAUCGCCCCUCUUUCACAGUACUAUAACAAGUUUUUUGAAUACCAACGUGCACAUUUUACAAGGUCAUAUGCAAGUAACAUGUUCUACAUCAUAGUUUCAAAUACGCAGUCAGCUAAAUGA